rnacentral:rRNA from 1 species
GACGUAGGGCGCGAGCGUUGUCCGGAUUUAUUGGGCGUAAAGCGCGCGUAGGCGGCUACUUAAGUCGGAUGUGAAAGCCCUUGGCUCAACUGAGGAAGUGCACCCGAAACUGAGUGGCUGGAGUACGAAAGAGGGUCGCGGAAUUCCCGGUGUAGAGGUGAAAUUCGUAGAUAUCGGGAGGAACACCGGUGGCGAAGGCGGCGACCUGGGUCGAUACUGACGCUGAUGCGCGAAAGCGUGGGGAGCAAACAGG